UACGUAGGGACCAAGCGUUGUUCGGAUUUACUGGGCGUAAAGGGCGCGUAGGCGGUCGUGACAAGUCACUUGUGAAAUCUCCGGGCUUAACUCGGAACGGUCAAGUGAUACUGUCGGACUAGAGUACAGAAGGGGCAACUGGAAUUCUCGGUGUAGCGGUGAAAUGCGUAGAUAUCGAGAGGAACACCUGCGGCGAAGGCGGGUCGCUGGGCUGAUACUGACGCUGAGGCGCGAAAGCCAGGGGAGCGAACGGG
rnacentral:rRNA from 1 species